rnacentral:snRNA from 1 species
CCUUUGCAGACGACUUAAA